GAGUGUAAAGGAAAUCUGUGAUAUCUGUUACCACAUUGAUUGGGAGAUCUGACUGGCUAGGUAGGUGGGUGUCCACUCCUCCAUGGCUACUCCAUGUGCCUCUCCUAAAGAUUCAUGGUCAGCUGAGGAGAAUGACCAUUCUUCUAUCAUGGGGUUAGUUGCACUCCCCUGCUAGAAGCUCCCAAGUUUUCAAAGUAAGCAAUUUGAGAGUUAGUUCAGCAAGACACUGCAGGUAGAACACGUGCCACUGCCAUAC
rnacentral:snRNA from 1 species